rnacentral:rRNA from 1 species
GACGAACCGUGCGAACGUUGUUCGGAAUCACUGGGCUUAAAGGGCGCGUAGGCGGGUACGCAAGUCUGUGGUGAAAGCCUCCAGCUUAACUGGAGAAGUGCCAUGGAUACUGCGCAUCUUGAGGAGGGUAGGGGCGUCUGGAACGGUCGGUGGAGCGGUGAAAUGCGUUGAUAUCGACCGGAACUCCGGUGGCGAAGGCGAGGCGCUGGACCCUUUCUGACGCUGAGGCGCGAAAGCCAGGGGAGCAAACGGG